AUGUUCGAGUAUCUAAAUGUUGUCAGCAAGAUGUUUGAUAGUGAGGCUGAAGGCUAUGAAUUCUACAACAAAUAUGCUCUUGAAAAAGGUUUUAGUGUGAGGAAAAGCUACGUUGAGUGGGAUGGAUCCAACAAAUACAUAAUUUUAAGGAAAAUUAUGUGUAGUCGUCAAGGGUUUCGCGAAGAGAAGCACAUGAAAAGAAAGAUGGAAGAUAGAAAGAGGAGGCCACGAAGUUUAACUCGUGUUGGGUGUAAUGCUAAAUUGGUCAUUACGAGACAGGAGGAAACCGGUCUGUGGCUUGUCAAGGAUUUCAUCGAUGAGCACAUCCAUCCUCUAGCCUCACGGGAUCUUUCUUGUCUGCUGCGUUCGCAAAGACGAAUUAGCGAUGAGCAGAAAACGGACAUUGCGGACAUGAAAAAAUGUGGGAUCCGCAAAUACCGUAUUAUGGAUAUUUUGUGCUUUCAAUACGGUGGAUUUGAUAAGGUUGGAUGCAUAAAGAGGGACAUUUAUAAUUUCUGCCAUGCUAAUAAGCAGAAGACAAUCAGCGCCGGUGAUGCUAAUACGGUGAUCAUGCACAUGAUGGCGAGGCGAGAGCGAGAUGUGGAUUUUUUCUUCAAGUACUUGGUAGACGAGCAUGGCCAUCUGAAGGGACUGUUCUGGGCUGAUAGUCGAUCGCGACUUGACUACGAGGCUUUCGGAGACGUCAUUGUUUUCGAUAGCAGAUACAGAACCAACAAAUACAAUCUGCCAUUCGUGCCGUUUGUUGGGUUGAAUCACCACCGGAGCACUGUCAUUUUUGGAUGUGGUAUAAUUUCUCAUGAAACUAGCCAGGCAUACGAGUGGAUGUUGCGGACCUUUUCUGAUUGCAUGGCACAGAAGCAUCUGAUAUCUGUGAUCACAGAUGGGGACCUUGCAAUGCAGAGAGCAAUCAGGGUGGUCUGGCCAGACUCAAACCAUAGACUAUGUAUAUGACACAUUCAGCAGAACAUUGUACGCCAUCUUCAUGAUGACGACGUAAAGGAGGAAUUCAGAUCUUUCAUUUAUGAUACUUCUUCCAUUGAAGAGCAUGAGAUAGAAUGGAUAAAAUUCUUACAACGGAAUAAAUUAACCAGUGAGGAGUCUUGGCUGCAUCAGAUGUAUCAGAUGAGAAUGUUGUGGUGUGCUCCAUAUCUUGAGGGGCGUUGUUUCCUAGGAUUGAGCAGCAAUCAAAGGAGUGAGAGCUUGAACUCUAUGCUACAUACGCAUCUUGAGGGUAAGAUGUCGUUGUUUGAAAUGCUAGAGCACUAUGAGCGUUGCCUUGCAUCGCGACGGAUUAACGAAGCUCUCCAAGACGUCGAAGCCUUGCAGUCCGUUCCAGAGGAAAAUACUUCGCCGCUUGAGAAACACGCCGCAACAGUUUUCACACCUAGUGUCUUUAAGAUGGUCUUAUGGAGCAUAGAUGCUGUCAGCAAAUGUCAGAUCAGAGAGAUACUAGAUGGAUCAAAAGAUUCCACUUAUGUUGUGUCCAAGCAGGAAAGAAUGGAUAAAAAGUUUGGAGUGCGCAUUGAAGAGCAAGGAGGUCUUUUGCACAGGGUGAGUUGUUUUUGCCGUAAGCUGGAAUGUGCAGGCACACCAUGUUCCCACAUUUUUUUUACAUAUUGGGGAUUUUAA
rnacentral:rRNA from 1 species